CCCAGUUGGAGCCAGGGAGACAGACUCCUCCUCCCUGAACCACCACCUACACAGGGAGACCAUUCCUACCAGGACCCAGUCAGCAACGGAACUUGGACCAUCUUGAAGCUCAGAUCACAGGCUCCGAGCGACCUCCCCUCCAGCUCCAGCUGCCCAGCCUAACAAGAACAAGGGCACAAGACCUCACCCAGGCCUUUCUGGAACCAGCAGCCAGUAGGCUCUGGAGAUUCCAAAGGGCAGCUGGUUGCCAAGGAGAAAAAAAAUAAAAUAAGACUACAGAAGAAUGAAGAGACCUGAAGGACCCCAACUUUUUCUGGCAUCCCCAGGACUGGUUCUUCUGAGGAAAGAAGAGUAGAGAGGUUCAUCAGAAGCAGAAGGCCCAAGUGGGAGCUCCCUGAAGCCCACCAUUGGGGACACGUGUUGAGCGAUGUCCUGCAGCACGGAGCACAGUGGAUCCCUGGAGAGGAGGAGGCAGACUGGGCCUGUGAAUGAGAGGCAUGACGUAUGUAUUCAAGGCUCAGUCUGAUGAAAAGAUUUGGAAGCCUAGCAUAAGGUUAGGUUCUGACUAUCUCUGAUGCUCACAGAGAGCCGCCGAGACUUUGCAGUAGAAGGUGAGUGAGUAGAGUGGGCAGACGAGCCAUCUGGAAGACAGGUCAUUCACAGAGGGAUUCAUGGACCCAGGAUUUCAAACAUUGUGGGGGCUAUUAUAAAGAAAGAGUUAGGGGAGAUGUUUUGUCUCAAAAAGGCACAUCAAAGCAAACAAACAAACAAACAAACAAAACACUCCAGAUGAGAUACCACGAACAAAAUUCUUUUCUGGAUUCUGGAUUUGAGAAGCAUUAAGUGGAAGAAGAAAAAAAAAAGAAUACCUCCCCACACAAAAACACAGACAGACAGACAGACAGACAGACAGACACACACACACACACACACACACACACAUACACAGAGAGAGAGAGAGAGAGAGAGAGAGAGAGAGAGAGAGAGAGAGAGAGUGUCAAUGAGCUGUUUUAAACCUAUACGUUCUACCCAUAGAACACAUGGGCUAGUCACAUCCCAAACACUCUGAAGCCACAUGUGCCUAUGGCUACAGUGUUGGAGAGCGUGAUUUCAAAGCCUAAAAUCCUGUGACUCACUUUUCCAGCCUUCCAGGAUGCUGGGCCUUUGAGAGUCUGGUAUCCGGCAGUCUGCUAAAGGCUCCAUAACGCUACAACUGUGAUUCUACUGGGUUAAAAAUGUUUCCUGAGCCCCAGGACUGCCUGUGAAGAAGGCUUUUCUCCACAUGGCUCUCUGUGGAAAUAAAUCCAGCUCCCUACAGAGCCAGUGGGGGAAGGUGGGAGCAAAGAGCCUCCCCUCAGCUGCCUGCACCAUCUGGCCCAGCCUGUGGGAGAGAGGAUGGGUGUGCCUUUCCACGUGGGGGACCUUGCCUCUCAGUCAUCCCUGGAGUUCUUCAUUUCUCCACCCGUGUGCAUAAUAAGUCUGCAAGGGAGACUCGUGCCCUGAGUCUUUGUGCGAAACAGGCAUGCCCCUGCCUCCCUCUCUUGGGUUCUCCCUUGGGGGUUCAGGACAGCAUCUGAGGUCAGUUAAGCCCAGAUAGAAUUCCCCAGCUGUGAGCUAGGCUUCCAUUUGCUCAAGGCUGGAGUCUGGGGACCUGGGAGGACAGAAGUCAGGAGCCUGUGCCUUGCAGCAGAGAGUCAGACGUCUCUGAAGGUCACAGGUGCUGUGCCUUUCACUGUGAGGAUGGGGAAGCAGACCUAAGCACAGAGGGCUUUCCUAAGUUAGGCCCAAGGUGAGUGUUGCACUAUGCCCACAGGAACAUCUGCUUAGCAACAGUCUCCUCUGCCCCCAAGCUCCUCAUCCUAAUCACCACUUUCCUGUGGGGGAGGACAAGGAGCAAACUGGGCAUGGCUGGAUGUCAAGGAUGCUGUGGGAGGCCACACACAUGGCUGUCUGGUAGUGCCUUCUUGGCUUUGGGGUGUUUCUUUGUCUGGGCUGCCAGAACAAAUCUCAUGGAUGGAGGGGCUUGUACACUACAGAAAUCUGUCUCUCCCAAUUUUAAGGCUGGGAUAUCUAAGAGCAAGGAUCUGGCAGAUUCUGAGUCUGAGGCAAGCCACUUCCUGUAUCAUAGAUGACUCUGCUCUGCCCUCCUAUAGUGGAGAAGACAAGUUCCUUGGGCCUAUUUUGUAAGGGCAUUGAUUCCAGUUGUGAGGGCUCAGUUUUUAGGACCUACCCAUAUCCCACACGUAGGUGCUCACGCCUCAUAAUACCAUGAGCUUGGGGUUAGGAUUUCAACAUACAGAUUUGGGGGCCACACAGCUUUCACACAGGGAGAAGCUCAGAUAGGCCCAGAAAUAACAUCCUGCUGAAACCUGGUUCCACAGGAAGAGAGAAAGUUCAAGACACCUUUAAUCCCAUCAACUCCAGAGGCAGAGACAGGUGGAUCUCUGAGUUCCAAGCCAAUGUAGUCUACAGAGUGAGUUCCAGGACAGCCAAGGCUACACAGAGAAACCCUGUCUUGAAUGCCUCCGCCCAAAGAAGACUUUUACUUUUCCUGUGUAUGGAAUUUUUGGUUUAUGUGUAUGCCUGUACAUGACUUGUGUGUGCCUGGUACCUGUGGAGGCCAGAAGAGGGCCUUGAGACCCCCCUGGAAUUAGAGUUAUAGAUGGUUGUGAGUAAUCAUGUGGGUGCUGGGAUUCAAACCUACACUCUCUGGAAGAGCAGCCAGUGCUCUUCCACUGGGCUGUAUCUUCAGCCCCUCACAGUUUAUAAAUGGUUGGGGAUGUAGCUCGGUUGGCAAAGUGUGUCAGCCAACCGUGCAUGGCACUCUGAAGUCAAUUUCUGACAUGGCAUACGUUGGGUAUGGUGGCACACACCUGUAACCCUGACUGUGGCAGAAAGAUCAUAAAUUCAAGGUGUGGCUACACACCAAGUUUAAGGCCACUCUGGAAUACUUUUUAACAGCCUAAGACUGUUAAAAAAGAAGGGGGCAGGGGCUGGAGAGAUGGCUCAGCGGUUAAGAGCACCCGACUGCUCUUCCAGAGGUCCUGAGUUCAAUUCCCAGCAACCACAUGGUGGCUCACAACCAUCUGUAAUGAGAUCUGAUGCCCUCUUCUGGUGUGUCUGAAGACAGCUACAGUGACCUUAUAUACAUAAAAUAAAUAAAGAACUCCUUGAGGAAAAAAAAAGGAGGAAGAGAAAAGAAAAUCCUUACUUAUUUCUGUGAGGUCCUAGACCUAAAAAAGGGGUGGGG
ensembl:lncRNA